UAAUAAUACAACUCCGAAUACGCGAUGCUGCUCCUCGGGAUCUCCCUCAGCCUCGCCCGCACUGUCUCCAUUUGCGAAGCUCUGAGCACCUUCUUCACCUCCUCCAUCGAUACUCUCCCUCUCACCUCCUCCUCCUUUCCUCCGGCGGAGGAACCAAGCAAUCGAGCCGGAUUCGAUCCCGAUUCAACCCCCGGAUCCGCUCAAUGAGCCUAUCCCCAGUGGGGAUCCACCGAUCAGGCGACACCGCCGCCUGAAAGAUCGGCCGUCGCCGGAGCAUUCGGCGAAGCAACCCUUCUUCCACGCCGGAUUCUGAGACCAUCCGCCGCCGUAGUGCAGCAGAGCUCGUCGAUGCCACCAUUGGUGCUCGGAUCUGGGAGUAGAUCUUAGCUAGGGUUUUGCGGAACGCCAUUUCCUUGGAGCUCUCUUCGGGUUCUCGAGAAGAAAAUCGAAAGGAAACCCUAGAUCUCGAGUUGAAGCGAAUAUGGUGCUGAUCUCUCUGACACGGGACUAUAUUGGGCGCAUGCUCCAGGAUAUCUCCGGCAUGAAGGUCCUCGUCCUCGAUUCCCACACGGUACCUGAUGCUUCUAGUGCUCAACAAACGCCGCGUGGGAAUAAUCAUUCUCAUGAAUCAAGUCAUCAAGUAAAUCCAAAUGCAUCAAGUGAUGCCGUUUAGAAGAUGACAUCGGUUCUACUUGGGAAAAUUCUUGUUGCUUUAUUGGGUUGUUAGACAUGAAAUGAAAGUAGUUUAUUUUAGUGUUAGAUUUAAAAUUGAGGGAAGCACUCUUGGUUGUCAAGAUUGAAUGGUGGUUUAUUUUUGGACAUAUACCUUAUAAAUAUAUGUUUGUGGUAAUGUAAUAGUUUUUCUUUUUUA